CGUUUGCGAUGCCUCCUCCAACAGGCAGCUCCAGCAUGAGGCCAGGGGCAGGGGCAGGGGCAGAGACAGGCAGCAGCAGGGGCUUCCUCUCCUCUCUCCACAGGUGAACCACUCACCGACCCCAAGCCCCCACCCAGUAGGACCCACUCAGCAGGUAGCAGUGGAGACAGAGGCCGCCUGGGGCAUGCUGGCUGGACAGGAGCUGUCCACUCCCCAAAUGCUGCCAGGCCCCUUCAGAUGGAGGAGUCCAGGCUGUGACAGCCAGGUGGCCCGCGGGGAACUGCUAGAAGGGGCCGGGGAGAAAGGGGGGGAUCGGCGAUGUCCCGCGAGCGGAUCCACAGGCUCUGGUCACCGCGGCGGAUGCGGCUCGUUGUUCACCGUGAACUUCCACCAGUCCCCCGCCUUGUCCGCCUUCAGGAUGUGGAUCUGGACGGCUGCAAGGAAGCACAGGCAGACGGGGCCAAGAAGCCUUGCCUCCCACGCUGUGAGGGUGCCACCCAGCACUGCCGUCGGGACAAGCCAUCUCCUGGCCUUGUCAAGGCCCACUUUGUCCAGGAAGCCUACAGGUGCUGACCACGCCCCCAGCACUCUGGGCAAGCUGUCUGCCCAGGGCAGGCGCUCGGGACUGAGCUGAAUACGAAUGAGCUCGGGAUAUGGCUGUUUCUGCCGUGCUGGACACCUCGGACCCCUUGUACAGCUGUGGUGUCCCCAGCCAGCAUGGGCUGGAGCAGCCCA
rnacentral:lncRNA from 1 species